GUCGAAUUUCAAAUUUGAUUUGAAACAUCAAACAUGCAGAAUCUAGAGAUUUUAUCUAAAAUUUAGCAGAAAUUUAUACGUAAAUACGCUGCUUUCAAGUUACUAUUGAAGAGAUCAAAGAAUGAUUUAAUAUCAAAUAUGCAGUUAGUUUUAUUAACUGAUUUACUAUUUAUUUAAAACGAAUGUCAAUGUCUGACUGGUGCAAUGACGAUAGUUGUAUUCAGGAUGUGGUUUUAUCAGAUGUUCACCUUUACACGACAUUUGCACCCAUUGAGGAAGGAUUGGAAGGAAACUAUGGUAUGAGGUGGCUAAUGCAGGAGAG